rnacentral:rRNA from 1 species
AGCGAACGCUGGCGGCAGGCCUAACACAUGCAAGUCGAACGAAGUCUUCGGACUUAGUGGCGGACGGGUGAGUAACACGUGGGAACGUGCCUUUAGGUUUGGAAUAACUCAGGGAAACUUGUGCUGAUACCGAAUGUGCCCUUCGGGGGAAAGAUUUAUCGCCUUUAGAGCGGCCCGCGUCUGAUUAGCUAGUUGGUGGGGUAAUGGCCCACCAAGGCUACGAUCAGUAGCUGGUCUGAGAGGAUGACCAGCCACAUUGGGACUGAGACACGGCCCAAACUCCUACGGGAGGCAGCAGUGGGGAAUCUUGCGCAAUGGGCGAAAGCCUGACGCAGCCAUGCCGCGUGGAUGAUGAAGGUCUUAGGAUUGUAAAAUCCUUUCACCGGUGAAGAUAAUGACUGUAGCCGGAGAAGAAGCCCCGGCUAACUUCGUGCCAGCCGCCGCAGUAAUAC